UACGUAGGGUGCAGGCGUUAAUCGGAAUUACUGGGCGUAAAGCGUGCGCAGGCGGCUCUUUAAGUCAGAUGUGAAAGCCCCGGGCUUAACCUGGGAAUUGCGUUUGAAACUGGAGAGCUGGAGUGUGGAAGAGGGGGGUGGAAUUCCAGGUGUAGCAGUGAAAUGCGUAGAGAUCUGGAGGAACACCGAUGGCGAAGGCAGCCCCCUGGGCUAACACUGACGCUCAUGCACGAAAGCGUGGGGAGCAAACGGG
rnacentral:rRNA from 1 species